GUUGCAGAGUCAUCAUAGGCUUGAGUGGUGGGGUUGUUGCGUUCUUCUAGUUGUCUAAUCCUGACGGCAAUUGUUUGAUGUGUGAGUGGUUAGGGUCUCACACCUGAAUGCUGCUGGAAAGCAUUCAAAUCCCUUGAGAGGAUACAGUGGACUACAGAGAUGAAAACCAUGAUUAUAAGGAGAAUAAUAGCCAAUAAUUGAAAAUUCUCUGGAGCAGACAUUGAGCUCAGGAGUUCAAGACCAGCCUGGCCAACAUGGGCACCACUGAGUUCAGUACUUCAAAAUUGCCGUGCUCUACCUCUCCCCAGUGCACAAAAACACUCUCCACACCAAGCUGCUGCUGCUGGGGGAUGGAGGGAUGGCGUCAGCGAUUCAAGACUGUUUUUCCUACCUGUUCAGCACUUCUUUCAGCGAUAUGAAGUUAAAUCCAGGCCAAGUUCCCACCUGGUGGGAAGCACUGUGCAGGUUCGUGGGGA
rnacentral:lncRNA from 1 species